GUGUCUUGUGCUAACCAUUGUUUUUUCUCAAUCAAAUAACAUCAGUCACGUAUCUUAAAAUUGUAAAACUAAUUAUACUCAACCCUAAUAUAUUUCGGCUUAAUUGUUAUGGAAACUCCGUGAUAUUGUCGUCAUAUACUCAUAUCUUUUUCUUGAACGAUUUGAUCUCACAAACAGAAAUCAGAGAUCACAAAACAAAGACGUCGUAUAUAGAUGAAACUCAAAAAUCAUUAUAAAAUACACCAAUACACCCAUCACAUACCCAAGACCUACCUUCAACACGCAUGAGAACAAGAACCACCAAAACCAACUUCGCCACCUAAAUCAAACUCCAUCGCAAACGCGCCACUGCAAAUGAAAACCUUACAAACCCCCUUCGCCCGCUGCUCACCAAAAAAAAAAAAACAUUCUAAAUCAAACAUCGUCUUCUUAUCACCAUAGCUGAAUCACACUCAAAAAUGUCCUAUUUCAACGCUUAGUCGACUUCCACCACCUCUUUAUCCCCGAUCCACCAAAGAUAACCAAUAUAAUUAUCCCAAAGCAAACUUGAUUCAAAACACUAACUCUUGAUCUCGAAGCAAAAGCAAUCGGUCCAUCAGAAUUCAUAACACAAAUCUAUUAGACAUUCGACAGGAUGGACGGUGGUGCAAACAAAUAUCAUGUCAAAAAAGGAAAAGACUCGGCUCGAAGAUCACCCACUUUCCAGCACCCAAAUACAAAAGCAACCAAAAUGCAACAAGAGCUAGCGAUGGCGGAUAUGGACUCAAAACAGAGGCGGCAAACAAUAGAAACAUCUAGAGCUCACCACCAUCCACCAAAACACCAUAAAAACAUCCACCUUCCUACCUAACCAAUGUCUACCAUCCCCUGUUAAUCAGCUCUCGUCCAUCAAAUGUUUCGACUUCAGAUCUGAGUCUAGAUUAUCCACGACCACCCCUUCCAACCACGCCACUACAAUUACCAUAAACCACCACUCAAACUUACACCUCCACUAUCUCCCCUAACCAUCUCGCAGCAAAACAAACAACCAUGCAAAACCAACACCAUCUCUAACCACCCUGUGAGCCACAACUAACCACCCAUAACCACCACACAAUCACCAAGCGAGACACCCACGAAAACAAGCAAAGAUAAUGUCUUCAAAGUCACCCUUAUGUAGGCUAAAACGAUAAACCAACUCCCCAAAGCCGACAUGCCGCCUCAACAACCACCUUUAACCACCAAAUUCGUUGACACCAUCGAUGAUACACUCUCUCACCACCUACAAUCCACCACUACAUCACCACCAUCACAAUCUCCAACUGAACCACCGCCUCAUGACCUCCUCAAACACCACGUAUCACAACCUCCGCACCACCAGAGAACCACCAUAAAUGUGACCUCCUCAUACAUAAAGCAUCACGUCUUCCUCACCACCACAAUCCCAUCACCACUCAAAUUCGUCAAUGACACCAUAUGGAGGUCGUCGGUGUAGCAAACACACAAUUCUAAAUGUAAUAAGCAUUUAGAGCAUCCACAUGUUAAUUUUUUAAAAGGAGUUUUUAAGUGAGUCACGUGUACACAAUUAACAUUGAGGGAGCGUGUGAUUUAUUGAAAAAUAAACGAUUGAAUAGCACAACUUCGAUUACACUGUGUUUUAUUUAAAAACUCGUGUAACUUACAAAAUUGAGAGUAAAUGGUCGGACAAAAACUGAAAUUAUGAUAUUUAACUAUGUAAUGAGACAAGUUUUAGUCCUACGAACAAACUAUUAAAAAUUAUUAACAUCAUUUUUUACACUUUUAAACAUAGAAUACACAAGUCCAUAAUAUUCAUACUAAAUUUAAUUUCUUUAACUAAUACUCCAAGGGCAAUAAUUAUCAUUUUUCAAAAAUUAUUGUCUCUACCAUUCUCCCCCAUACCUCUCUAUCUCCAUUCUCCCCCAUACCUCUCUCCUCUCCCUGUCUCCAUCUCUCCCCUUCCACUCUUCCUUCUCUCUUUAUUUAUGUCUAUCUAUUUCCUUCUCCCUCUCAUAUCUGUCCUCUAUCUCAUACUAUCUCUCCCCUCAUCUUUAUCUUCUAUCCAAAUAUGAGAAAGGAGUCAAACUAUUUUAAAAUGAGAACCUAAUUCAAGAGAUCAGGGAAAUAAAGACUAAAACUAUACUUUUUUAUUUGUAUAAACAUUUUUUAUUUGAAGUUAUUACUUAUUAGUCCAAAUAAAUACACCCUCCGGUCACUAAUAUAAGCAAAAAACUACAUUUUAGGUUCAUUCAUUUAAUGAUGCACAUAGUCUUUAUUAUAGACCACAUACAUCAUUAAAUGAAUGAACCUAAAAUGUAGUUUUUUGCUUAUAUUAGUGACCGGAGGGUGUAUAUAUUUGGGCACCAAGUAUUUUCCCCUUUUUUAAAAAAGAAAGAAAGUAUUUUCCCUUUUCCUACACAUGUAAGUGUAGCCGGCAGAAUUGAUUUGGAAAUCUUGAGGAGCAUUAUCAAUACACGUGUAGACGUGACCAUGAAUUGAUUAAAGGCCGUGGCUACUAAAAGAAGAGUAAAAUAGGACCUUGGCUACCAAGUAAGCUGAAAAGGUCAAUAAAGAUUUUGAAAACCGUCUCUCAAUCCAAGAAAAGGAUUUCCUUGAUUAACACAUGCCGUCUAUAUGCUUUUCUUUUCAGCCAAGCAAACAAUUAAUAAAGGAGAAUGCUAACAAUUGUCUUUAAGGCAUUGGUUAAAGUAUUAAAAUAAGUAAAUUUGUAUUAAAAAUAAUGUAAUUAUUGUUAAGACAAAAGUAAAGACUGGUAUUUCUAAGACAAUAUUUCUAUUAACGGAAUCCUUAAUCAUUACUCUUAAGACACCGAUUAGCGAGACUCUUAACAAAUAACCCAAAACACUAGUAAAUGUGAACCAAUAAUAUAGCCUAAAUUAUUGAAAAAGUCUGUUUCGACAAGCCACUUGAAAGUGUUUCUAGAUACUGCUUAGAAGUGUAGCCAUAUAUUUAUCACUUUAUGAGACAGAAUAUAGUUACAGAUCUGAAAUGAAUUAUAACUACCGUAAAAAAAAAAAAAAAACAGAAAUAUAACCGCUGACCUUUAAUUGACCAAACCAAGCCCGUAAAAAAUAAAGUGCAAUAAGUAAUCGGACUUAAUCAAUUAUUCAUAUAACAUGC
rnacentral:lncRNA from 1 species